rnacentral:rRNA from 1 species
CAUGGCUCAGGACGAACGCUGGCGGCGUGCCUAAUACAUGCAAGUCGAGCGAAUCUUUAGGAGCUUGCUCCUGAGGGUUAGCGGCGGACGGGUGAGUAACACGUGGGCAACCUGCCUGUAAGACUGGGAUAACUUCGGGAAACCGGAGCUAAUACCGGAUAAUCCUUUCCCUCUCAUGAGGGAAAGCUGAAAGUCGGUUUCGGCUGACACUUACAGAUGGGCCCGCGGCGCAUUAGCUAGUUGGUGAGGUAACGGCUCACCAAGGCGACGAUGCGUAGCCGACCUGAGAGGGUGAUCGGCCACACUGGGACUGAGACACGGCCCAGACUCCUACGGGAGGCAGCAGUAGGGAAUCUUCCGCAAUGGACGAAAGUCUGACGGAGCAACGCCGCGUGAGCGAUGAAGGCCUUCGGGUCGUAAAGCUCUGUUGUUAGGGAAGAACAAGUAUCGGAGUAACUGCCGGUACCUUGACGGUACCUAACCAGAAAGCCACGGCUAACUACGUGCCAGCAGCCGCGGUAAUACGUAGGUGGCAAGCGUUGUCCGGAAUUAUUGGGCGUAAAGCGCGCGCAGGCGGUCCUUUAAGUCUGAUGUGAAAGCCCACGGCUCAACCGUGGGAGGGUCAUUGGAAACUGGGGAACUUGAGUGCAGAAGAGGAAAGCGGAAUUUCCACGUGUAGCGGGUGAAAUGCGUUAGGAGAUGGUGGGAGGGAACACCCAGUGGGGCGAAAGGGCGGCCUUUUCCUGGGUCUUGUAACUGACCGCUUGAGNGCGGAAAGGCGUGGGGGAGCAAACAGGGAAUUAGAAUACCUGG